rnacentral:rRNA from 1 species
UACGGGGGGAGCAAGCGUUGUUCGGAUUUACUGGGCGUAAAGGGCGCGUAGGCGGCCACCGCAAGUCGACUGUGAAAUCUCCGGGCUUAACCCGGAAAGGUCAGCCGAUACUGCGGGGCUAGAGUGCAGAAGGGGCAACUGGAAUUCUCGGUGUAGCGGUGAAAUGCGUAGAUAUCUGGAGGAACACCGGUGGCGAAGGCGGCAUCCUGGACCGGCAUUGACGCUGAGGCGCGAAAGCCAGGGGAGCAAACAGG